rnacentral:lncRNA from 1 species
GAGAGACCUGUGAGGCGCGCGGCGGGGCCGGGAGGAUGCCCUGGACAUCAUUCCGAACAGCACAAUUCAAGGGUGGCUGAAACAACAAAAAUGUAACGUCUUACAGAUCUGAAGGCUUCCGGGUCGAUUCUGGACUGUGAUGAGAAUCUGUGCCAAGCCUCUCUCCUGGCUUCUGGUAGACUCGGGCAUUCCUUAGCUUGUAAAUGGCUGCUGCUUGUGUCAUCACAUUGUCUUCCCUUUCUACUUAUCUGUCCCCAUGCCCCAAUUUUUCCUUUUCAGGACACCAGUCAGAUUAGGACCCACCCUAAUGAUCUCAUCUUAACUUGAUUAACUACAAGGACCCUAUUUUUAAGUACACAUUUACAGAGACUGGGGGGUAGGACUUCAACAUCUUUUUGGAGGGAUGCAGUUCAACCCAUAACAAGAAUCAUUGUUAGAAAUGAUUUUGCUUCUUCACUGAAAAAUUAAUAUCAUUCUGCAGAGAACUGACUUGCUGCACAUGGCACAGAUUUUUUGCAUUUAUCAUAGUAAAAGAAAUCAGUCACAAAAGUUUGUUUUAGACUGCUACAUACCUAUCACAAAUACAAAUUAUUUCCAACAUCAAAAGUUAAUAAAGCAAGCACUGUCACCCAAAUUAUAUUGUAUCUAUUGAGCACUCCCUUAUGUACAGAAGAGGAAAAUGAGAAAUGAACAGGAAGUUUAACAUUCAUAAAAACUGUUGGCUGGGCGCGGUGGGUCACUCCUGUAAUCCCAGCACUUUGGGAGACCGAGGUGGGUGGAUCACCUGAUAUCAGGAGUUCAAUACCAGCUGGCCAACA